GAUGAACGCUGGCGGCGUGCCUAAUACAUGCAAGUCGAGCGAACAGAUGAGGAGCUUGCUCCUCUGACGUUAGCGGCGGACGGGUGAGUAACACGUGGAUAACCUACCUAUAAGACUGGGAUAACUUCGGGAAACCGGAGCUAAUACCGGAUAAUAUAUUGAACCGCAUGGUUCAAUAGUGAAGGACGGUUUUGCUGUCACUUAUAGAUGGAUCCGCGCCGCAUUAGCUAGUUGGUAAGGUAACGGCUUACCAAGGCAACGAUGCGUAGCCGACCUGAGAGGGUGAUCGGCCACACUGGAACUGAGACACGGUCCAGACUCCUACGGGAGGCAGCAGUAGGGAAUCUUCCGCAAUGGGCGAAAGCCUGACGGAGCAACGCCGCGUGAGUGAUGAAGGUCUUCGGAUCGUAAAACUCUGUUAUUAGGGAAGAACAAAUGUGUAAGUAACUAUGCACGUCUUGACGGUACCUAAUCAGAAAGCCACGGCUAACUACGU
rnacentral:rRNA from 1 species